AGUGAACGCUGGCGGUAGGCCUAACACAUGCAAGUCGAACGGCAGCACAGUAAGAGCUUGCUCUUACGGGUGGCGAGUGGCGGACGGGUGAGGAAUACAUCGGAAUCUACUUUUUCGUGGGGGAUAACGUAGGGAAACUUACGCUAAUACCGCAUACGACCUACGGGUGAAAGCAGGGGAUCUUCGGACCUUGCGCGAUUGAAUGAGCCGAUGUCGGAUUAGCUAGUUGGCGGGGUAAAGGCCCACCAAGGCGACGAUCCGUAGCUGGUCUGAGAGGAUGAUCAGCCACACUGGAACUGAAACACGGUCCAGACUCCUACGGGAGGCAGCAGUGGGGAAUAUUGGACAAUGGGCGCAAGCCUGAUCCAGCCAUACCGCGUGGGUGAAGAAGGACUUCGGGUUGUAAAGCCCUUUUGUUGGGAAAGAAAAGCAGCAGGUUAAUACCCCGCUGUUCUGACGGUACCCAAAGAAUAAGCACCGGCUAACUUCGUG
rnacentral:rRNA from 1 species